AUGAUCAUCCUUUAUAGAUCACUUCUAUAGUGAGAAUUGCGGUUUCUCGCCGAGAUUCUCGGAAUAUGUCAACACGAUGAGGACUUGUUAGUGUACUCCAUCUGAGCGGUAAGCGCUCUCAAGCGUUGUGCUUGAGAGAUUUGAUGACCUUUCUGACUCGGUUUUACGAUGUUGAGAGAAGGAUCACACCAGCUGAGUGUU